UAUCUCAACUGCCAAAAAUGAGACAGUGUGAAGAACAGAAACCAAUGCAAUGAGCAGCUUCGAUGUUUCCCGUGAUGGCCUGUCUGAGAGCAGAAAGAUGAAAGUUACUCUCCUGAGCCCUGCAAGUACAAGGCUGUCCCAAAUCCUUCCUGAUAAGCAUCAAACGGAGACAACCAGCUACAAGAAAUUCCUCCAGCAACAGAAUAAAUAUUGGCACGCCAAGAAAUAAUCUACUGAUGGGGACAGAGGCUCUGAAAAUCAUCCUGUGACUAGUCAAUCCCAAGUUCAGCGGCAAAUCCUCAUCUUGACACAAUCAGGAAGAUGUCAAAGACACUGGGACACAGGCAAGCACAGAGGAAAUGCCAUGUGGAGACUCAGUGAGAAGAUAGCCGUCUAUAAGCCAAGGAGAGAGACCUCAGGAGAAACAACCCUGUCCACAUCUUGAUCUUGGACUUCAGCCUCCAGAUGUCUCAUGAGACCCAGGACCACAAGGCCCCAUGCCACCAGAGCCCAGCGAUCAAGGGGCAUCCCCUGGGCAGGAGCUGCCAAGACCGGGGACACCAGAUGCUUGUAAAUCUCCCCUCCGGAAGGUAGUAGCACCUUGCAGCCUGGCAGCGGGAAGAGCGGGGGAAGAUAGCGCCCGCCCACCGGGACUCUGGAGCGGAUUACAGGCAGCCCCCUAGACGCGUCUUCAAUCAGAAGCCUCUCCAACAGGCUGCAGCUGCGAUCGGAAGCAAACAGGCCUCCUUCCCAGGAAGACUGAGCUCCUGAGUCUGUUGCUUCUUGUCGUGCCGGCGGACGUGGUGGCUGUUUCAGAACCCUUUUGGGGUUGGCUCUAGCUCUUGGGGACCCACGAGCCUAAGCCCCCUCCCCUGCCACCGGGCGUGUGUAUAAGGAAAGAAAGAAGAAAAGGAAAGGAAACAACACCGGAGGAGGAACCCUGGCGCCCCCAGGAGCAAGGAGCAGGGAAGCGUGAAGGUGGCACCUGCUAGGCCUCCACCUCGGGGAGCGUCCAGCAGGCUCCCUGGCGGGUGCGGACGAAUCCGAUGUCCUGCCCGCGGGCCGAGGCCCCACAGCCGCACCCGCCUCUCCUGCCGUGGCC